rnacentral:rRNA from 1 species
CCUACGGGUGGCAGCAGUGAGGAAUAUUGGUCAAUGGGCGCGAGCCUGAACCAGCCAAGUAGCGUGAAGGAUUACUGCCCUACGGGUUGUAAACUUCUUUUAUAAAGGAAUAAAGUGAGGCACGUGUGCCUUUUUGUAUGUACUUUAUGAAUAAGGAUCGGCUAACCCCGUGCCAGCAGCCGCGGUAAUACUGCGGAUCCGAGCGGUAUCCGGUGUUAUUGGGUUUAAAGGGAGCUUAGAUGGGUUGUUAAGUCAGCGUGAAAAGCCCGGGGCUAAACCCCGGCGAGCCGUUGAAACUGGCGGGCUGGAGUUGGAGAGAAGUACGCGGAAUGCGCGGUGUAGCGGUGAAAUGCUUAGAUAUCGCGCAGAACCCCGAUGGCGAAGGCAGCGUACCGGCUCCACACUGACGCUGAGGCACGAAAGCGUGGGUAUCGAACAGGAUUAGAUACCCUUGUAGUC